UGUGCGAGGUGGCUGCGGACACGGGACCUGCAGAUGAGAAAAAAAACCAAACCCAGAGAGGACGAGUGUGAGCGAGAGGACCUUCGGAGGGUGGAGGAGCUCGGCGGCGAUGAGAACUGAGGUGGUGAUGGCCUUUUCCCCAGCAGCUGCUCGGAAACACUUCUAAAAUAUCACAAAAAUGAAAAGCUAGACCCUUCAUGCUGCGCCUCACUGUCUUCAGAUUUACCUAGAAAGCUACCGAAGUUGAAUUUUCAGUCCUUCCACGUCUUCUACCUUCGUUUUGAAUCUCGGCGAGCAUCCAGGGGCUCAGCAGCGAGGUACCCAGCCCGAAAGGCCAGUAACAUUUAUUUCCUACGGCCUUCUCUGCGAAACCCAGGAGCCAUCAGCCCGAAGAAGUGCGAUAAACAGUUUACCCAUCCGUCACGCGUUUGCUGCGUGGCGUCUUCUGUACCGAGAGGAAAACGUAAAUGAUCAGUAAGCUUCCACCAAACUUACAUAUAUAUUUCAUUUUUUUCUAUACUGUGCUUAAUGCUCUUUUUCCCUCGUGACGUUAUCAUCAGCCACACAAGGAACCCAAGACCAGAAAUGAAACGCCACGAGGGGAGGCUGAGGCCGAGUCGUGCGCGUGUUUCUGAUGGUGCCUGUCCCCUCCGGAACCAGUCUGGGGCUUUGCUUGGCUGGAAAUAGAAGAGAUUUGUCUCGUUUUGGAUCCACUUGUCCCCAAACACCUUUUCACCCAAAGAGUGUCCCCCCCCAGCCCCACCCUGGGGCUAAGCUGACAUCCCCAAGAGUUUAAUCCUGUUCUUAUGCGGCAGAAAAAAAAGGGGGUUUCUUUUAAAAAGCAAGAGGAAAUUCUGGAAAUUAAAACGUCCAUGAGCCUCCCGAAGGCUCUGCCAGCGCGGGUGUCUCUGACCGCCGCAGGCACACCCGCACACGAAGCUGUUGCCCGUGUACCCGCUUUGUCACCGUAAGGCCCCACGAGCGCAGGCAGCUCCCACCGGCCCCCCCAGUCCCGUAAUUCCCGGUAAAUGGCACGGAAACCAGAAAAAGCAACAACCCCAAAGUUACGAAAAUUAGAUAUUUUUAUUUAUAUUUCAUCACAAGAACAAUCCCUUUGCUCUUCAGCUGUAAAUACAUACUAGAAUAGACUCUGUAAAUUAUACAAAAAAAUACAUAUUUUCCAUGAAAUCUUUCUUUAUAAUAAAUAAAUGUGAACACGUGUGUG